GAAUUCCUCCAUUAAAGAAACUUGAAUUAUUUUAUUGAAUUUAUCUCAGAGUUUUCCAAAGUUACUUGACCAUGAAAACUUCUUUCCCAGACACCUGUCUGCGUGGAGUCUGCAGACCUCUGUUUGGAAAGAGGAACCAGAGGAAACUACUGACUGUCUUGAAGAAAUACCAUGGCUGGGUUUGGUAUUUCAGGAUUAUCUUCCUGGCUUCUGUGUGCAGUGUAUUCAGAAGCCUGGUGUGCAGUCAGCACUUACUCCAUUUUUGGAUGAAAGGAUGUUGUUUCCAGUCUUACAUUAGACCCUGAGGCUGAAGAAGAGAGAGGCAAACCCUAUUCUCCUGCAGUGAACAGACUGGCAAGCACUCUUGGCUCCCUCCUGGCUGUAGCACUGCAUUCCUGAGUCUGCAUGAUCUGCUUGAAGACACCUACAAGAUAAAGUACAUUCAUGUUUUCAUGUAAGCUGUGUACACACUAACACUGUUUGGUGUUUGAUGUUAAGUUUAAAAAAAGAGAGAAAGAGGACUAUGUGGUCUUUCAGGAGAGGCUGUGAGACUUUCCUUCAUUUCAUCCUGGAGAGAGUUUCCUGUGGAAAUGAAAGAGAAAAAGUCUCUGAUUGACUUGUUUGUGG
rnacentral:lncRNA from 1 species